rnacentral:rRNA from 1 species
AUUGAACGCUGGCGGCAGGCCUAACACAUGCAAGUCGAGCGGAUGAGAGGAGCUUGCUCUUCGAUUCAGCGGCGGACGGGUGAGUAAUGCCUAGGAAUCUGCCUAGUAGUGGGGGACAACGUUUCGAAAGGAACGCUAAUACCGCAUACGUCCUACGGGAGAAAGUGGGGGAUCUUCGGACCUCACGCUAUUAGAUGAGCCUAGGUCGGAUUAGCUAGUUGGUAGGGUAACGGCCUACCAAGGCGACGAUCCGUAACUGGUCUGAGAGGAUGAUCAGUCACACUGGAACUGAGACACGGUCCAGACUCCUACGGGAGGCAGCAGUGGGGAAUAUUGGACAAUGGGCGAAAGCCUGAUCCAGCCAUGCCGCGUGUGUGAAGAAGGCCCUCGGGUCGUAAAGCACUUUAAGUUGGGAGGAAGGGCUUACAGCGAAUACCUGUGAGUUUUGACGUUACCGACAGAAUAAGCACCGGCUAACUUCGUGCCAGCCGCCGCCGUAA